rnacentral:rRNA from 1 species
CCUACGGGAGGCAGCAGUAGGGAAUCUUCCGCAAUGGACGAAAGUCUGACGGAGCAACGCCGCGUGAACGAUGAAGGCCUUCGGGUCGUAAAGUUCUGUUGUUAGGGAAGAACAAGUGCUAGUUGAAUAAGCUGGCACCUUGACGGUACCUAACCAGAAAGCCACGGCUAACUACGUGCCAGCAGCCGCGGUAAUACGUAGGUGGCAAGCGUUGUCCGGAAUUAUUGGGCGUAAAGCGCGCGCAGGCGGUUCCUUAAGUCUGAUGUGAAAGCCCCCGGCUCAACCGGGGAGGGUCAUUGGAAACUGGGGAACUUGAGUGCAGAAGAGGAGAGCGGAAUUCCACGUGUAGCGGUGAAAUGCGUAGAGAUGUGGAGGAACACCAGUGGCGAAGGCGGCUCUCUGGUCUGUAACUGACGCUGAGGCGCGAAAGCGUGGGGAGCGAACAGGAUUAGAUACCCUGGUAGUCCACGCCGUAAACGAUGAGUGCUAAGUGUUAGAGGGUUUCCGCCCUUUAGUGCUGCAGCAAACGCAUUAAGCACUCCGCCUGGGGAGUACGGUCGCAGGGCUGAAACUUAAAGGAAUUGACGG